CUCACUUCUCGAGCCUUCACUGGUGCGUCGUUUUCUUCCUCUCUCUUCUUAUCAACCCUAACUUUAGAGAGAGAAAGAAAAAGGCUACUCUUCCACCAUGUUGGUUUAUCAGGAUCUCCUCACCGGUGAUGAGCUUCUCUCCGACUCAUUUCCCUACAAAGAAAUCGAGAAUGGUGUGCUUUGGGAAGUUCAAGGGAAGUGGGUUGUUCAAGGUGCCGUUGAUGUAAACAUUGGGGCAAAUCCUUCUGCUGAGGGUGGAUGUGAAGAUGAAGGUGUGGAUGACCAAGCUGUCAGGGUUGUCGAUAUUGUUACCUUCAUGAAGAGAUACAUCAAGAACCUGACACCCAAGCUAGAAGGAGAAGCACAAGAAGCAUUUAAAAAGAACAUUGAAGCAGCAACUAAGUUUCUUUUGCAAAAGAUCAAGGACUUGCAAUUCUUUGUUGGUGAGAGCAUGCAUGAUGAUGGUGCCCUGGUGUUUGCGUACUACAAGGAUGGUUCAGCUGAUCCUACCUUUUUGUACAUUGCACCUGGCUUGAAGGAGAUCAAGUGCUAGAUGUCUGGUGGAGUGCUUCUGCUAGAAGUUUUGCAUUCGAGAUUAUGUUUCAUAUAGUUUUUAAUAUUUGGUCUUUUUUGCUUAUUUAUGUCUUGUGUUUCUUCUAAACCUUGGGUACUUGUUGUAACCAGUACGGCAGUACCUGCAGUUUUUCUUUAUCAUAUGAUCUUAUUAUGUGGGACAGCAAA